rnacentral:rRNA from 1 species
UACGAAGGGGGCUAGCGUUGCUCGGAAUCACUGGGCGUAAAGCGCACGUAGGCGGCUUUCUAAGUCAGGGGUGAAAUCCUGGAGCUCAACUCCAGAACUGCCUUUGAUACUGGAGAGCUUGAGUCCGGAAGAGGUGAGUGGAACUCCUAGUGUAGAGGUGGAAUUCGUAGAUAUUAGGAAGAACACCAGUGGCGAAGGCGACUCACUGGUCCGGUACUGACGCUGAGGUGCGAAAGCGUGGGGAGCAAACAGG